CCUGCUGAGGGAGGGCGGGUGCGUGGCUCCGCUGCUAGGCAGGACCGCGUGGCCCGGGGCCCUGUGAGGUAGUUCCGGGCUGGGUGGGGUGCGAGCGGGUUCGGUUCUGCCUGCUCGCCCGCCCUCGGAGGGCGGUUGCUGAGGUAGUGGGCCCUAGCGCUGGGGCGUAUUUCAGCAACUGCCUCCCGCUCCUGUCCUGGCACGAGGAGCCCGCCUGUCACCAGCACGCUACCUACUGCCCGCCCUUCGGUGGCUGAGCAGCUUCAGCAGGGUCAGGGGAGGUAAAUCCUUCCCACCUCCGACAUUUAGAGGGCAGCUGGUGGCUACAGGAAAAUCAAACAGUUUAUAGAAAUACAUCCAGCUAGUAGCAAGACACUGAUGUACGCUCACCGCACCCCCCACAUAUAGCUGGGCUACAUGCUGAAUCUACCAAGACUACACCAAAAAGUUAAGAUGACCCAGCUGUGUUGCUCAGAGGUGUGAAAGCUGACCUAACCUCCAGUUUAGAUAGUGCUAGAUUGAUGGAAGAAUUCUAUUGACCUAGCUACACCUUUUCUGGGAGAUGGAAUAACUACAGCAAGAGGAGAACACCAGCAUUGCUGUAGUGUUCUUCAGCAAUUUGUCAGUGUUUGCAACAGCACUGUGAAUGACAACAAAGUCAAGCCAGAAAAGUUUGAAGUCAUACUUUAAUGUGACAUAUUAUACCCUACCAGCAACCUCCAGGAUGUCUGCAUCACUACGUCUUUCCAGGAGAUUUCAUAUUCAGCACAGUGGGAAACCAGUGGUGUUCCUCAAGAUGUGUUGCAGUAUACUGCAGAUAUUUCUAGUAGUGUUGAGAAUUUGCAUGAAAUAAGCCAGGACCAUGUAACAUUUUCAAAAGUUAUGGAGGAAAUAGGAGAGAACCUGACAUUUAUUUUGACAGUUGCAUUGAUCUACAGUAUGAAGAUAAGAAGUAUUUUAAUUAAUUUGAUUUCAUAUUCUACCAUCUGGCUAACUUAGAAUACUACAGAUGCUAAUGUGCAGUGAUGAUUCAGCUGCAGAAACAUUUCAAGACAAGCUAAUAACUGUUUUAAUGAAUUGUGUGGGCUUAUGUUUGCAUAAGUCUAUUCUGAACAGAAUUUUUUUUAAAGAAACUAAAUUCUGGGGAAAAAAAUAUGAGAACACCCAAGCACAUUUCAAAGCCAGUGUGUGGUAAAUGCCUUAUCCAGUAAUUUUGCUUCAACCAUAACUGCAAAAGCAAAAUAUGUUUUGUCAAAUUGAAAACAUCUGGCUCUUGGAAAACUGUACCUAGAGAUUUAAUGGAAAACAAAAGUUAAUUGUUGUAAAAUAUGAGAAAUUUCAGCUUUCUACAAUGAGCAAAAAUUGGCAAAUUGAGAGAUAAUCCUGACAGAGGGGAAUGUCAUUGAGGUGGAGAGUGCAGGAGUAAAGUGGAAUUAGGGAUGAUUUGGAGCCAGCUGCCCUGUUGGGCUCUCUCAGGUCUGUAAUCUAGUGGCAAACCAUAAUUGUAAUCAACUGUUACAAUGGGCAAUCUUUUGCCUUGCUCCAUAUCUCUUGUAAAUUCACCUUGAAAAGGUUUCCUUUCAUAAUCAGCUGAAUCAUCUUCCUG